UUUGCUGAAUCUAUGGGAAGGUCAUCAUUUAUUUGUGUGAGCUAAGUAUUCAAUUCAUAUCUAUUUUAUUCGAGAGUAUUUGAUCUUUAAGUAUUUCACUGUUUUUCACAGAGUGUGAAGCUGUUGGAAUGCUGAUUCCAGGAGCGGCUUACUAUUCUCCUACUGACUUCAUUUCACCUCAGGUGCUUAUCUUUAAAAUGGAUGCCUGAGUGGAGUGGAGGUUAGAGAAAGUUCUUGAUAUCUAGGCCCAUACCUGGGAAAAUUCUUACCUGGGCUUGGUGCAUUUUUGUCUGAAUGGUUUGUAAAUGCCCCUUGGGAAAUGUGGAUUCUCACUACCCCUUCCAAGAACAUGAGCGCUUUUAUCAUCUCUGCCAUCUCUUCUCUUUUAGACGUCGGGAUUCUUGGACCCAUUCUUGGAGCAUGGAAUUGAGUAACUUCUUCAAGGGCAUGUUGACACUCCGUAUAUUUCUGCCAGUAUCAGCGAGGUUCAAUAUGUGUCAUGAAUGUCUUUCAAGCCUGGUAUUCUCUACAGAUGUCUCCAUGCCAGUAUUCUCCAUUGUAGCAGAACAAGUCUCAUCAAUGUGUUGGCAUCUCUCCUCAAUCUGUGCUGCCAGCUUUUCUGACAUCUUUUCUCCGUGUCUCCCAUAAAGUCGACUUCAACAGGACUGGGCAGUUCUGAAAGGACCUCGGAGCCUCACCAGUAAGCUGAUGACAGUCAAAUCAUGCACUGUCUGCCCUUUCAGGUUCUGGAAACUAACCCGUGAUACCAGGUUUUUGGGCAGCAGCAUUAUCUCGAACUUACACAGCUUCCUGAACAAAAGAACUAAGACAAGCUCCACAGAGGGCAGCAUCCCCUCCAUCAAACUGAUCCACCCACAGAAUUCUGCCCAGUUACCUUGGAUCCACCAGGCACAACAAGCCUCACGGUACCCACCAACAUUCCACCUGGAAUCCAAAAGGUUUUCUGAGGCCUCAUUCUGUCCUUGGAAGUAAGAGACCACUCUUCGGCAAGUGUCCUGGACUAUGGGCUGGACGUCAGGAAUCUUGGACCCGUUCUUGGAGCAGAGAAUUGAGUACCUUCCUCAAGUGCACGUAGGUGUUCCACAGGUUUCUGCCAUUAUCAGCGAGGCUCAAUAUAUCUCGUGAUUGUCUUUCUUGCCUGGGAUCCUCUGCAGAAGUCUCCAUGCCAGUAUUCUCCAUUGUAGGAGAACAACCAUCAUCAAUGUGUUCGCAUCUCUCCUCAAUCCAUGCAGCCAAAUUUUCUGCCAGGUUCUCUUCGUGUCUCCCAUAAAGUCGACUUCUACAGGACUGGGCAUGUCUAAAAGUACCUCGGAGCCUCACCAGUAAGCUGAUGACAGGCAGAUCUUCCACUGUCUGACUUUUCAAUUUCUAGAAACUGACCCAUGAUCUCAGGCCACUGGGCAGCAACAGUAUCUCGAACUUACAGAGCUUCCUAAACAAUAGACUUAAGCCAAGCUCCACAGAGUGUGGCAACCCCACCAUGACACUGAUCCACCCACCGAGCUCUGCCAAGUUACCUUGGAUCCACCAGCUCAUAACAAGCCUCGUGGAACAAACCAACAUUCCACCUGGAAUCUAACCAGUAACUGCCAUCCUCAAUUGUUGCUGCAUUUUUACAGUGUUGGUGAAGUGGCUGCAUCAGACGACAGGUACUUAAGGUUUUCUGAGGUAUCAUUCUGUCUUUGGAAGUAAGAGACCACUCUUUGUCAAGUGUCCUGGACCAUGGGCUGGCCAGCCUUUCUGCCAGCUUCUCUUCGUGUCUCCCAUAAAGUCGACUUCUACAGGACUGGUUUCUAGAAAAUGACCCGUGAUCUCAGGCCAUUGGGCAGCAUCAGUAUCUCGAAAUAACACAUCUUCCUGAAGAAUACACCUAAGCCAAGCUCCACAGAGGGCAGCAGCCCCUCCAUGACACUGAUUCACCCACAGAGCUCUGCCCAGAUACCUUGGAUCCACCAGCCUCAACAAGCCUUGUGGAACACACAACAAUUCCACCUGGAUUCAAACCGAACAUUGUAAAGCUGAUAGAAAGAAAACAAGCAGGAGGGAAUUCUCCUAAACUCAUUCUAUGAAGCCACCAUCAGUCUGAUACCAAAAACAGGCAAAGACACCACCAAGAAAGAGAAUUAAAGACCAAUAUCACAGAAGAACAUAGAUGCAAAAAAUCCUCAAGUAAAUACUACCAAAUAGAAUGCAACAGCACAUAAAAAAGAUCAUACAUUAUGAUCAAGUUGGGUUCAUCCCAGGGACACAAGUGUGGUUCAACACAUAGAAAUCAAUGUAAUAAUUCACAACAACAAGAGAAAGGACUAAAACCACAUGAUAAUCUCAAUAGAUGCAGAAAACACACUUAAUAAAAUUCAACGGAGAACUAUAAAACAUUGAUGAAGGAAAUUAAAGAAGUUUCUAAAAAUGGAAAGAUACCCCAUGCUCCUGGAUUGGAAGAAUCAAUAUUGUUGAAAUGGUCAUACUGCCCAAAGCAAUGUACAGAUUUAAUGUGAUCUCUAUCAGAUUACACAGGACUUUUUUUUUAUAAAAUUUGAACAAAUAAUCUUAAAUUUAUAUGGAACCACAAAAGACCCAGAAUUGCCAAAGCAAAAAUGAAGAAAAAGAAUGAAGCUGGAGAAAUAACCCUCCCAGACUUCAGACAACACUACAGAACUACAGUCAUCAGGACAGAAUGUUAUUGACAUAAACACAGGCUUAUGGAUCAAUGGAACAGACUAGAAAGCCCAAAAAUAAACCCACAGACCUACAGUCAAUUAGUCUUUGACAAAGAUAGGCAAGAAAAUACAGUGAUUAAAGACAGUCUCUUCAGCAAAUGGUGUUGAGAACACCGGACAGCAACAUGCAAAUCAAUGAAGUUCGAACUCCCACACGCCAUACACAAAAAUAAACUCAAAAUGUCUUAAAGAAUUAAAUAUAAGGCAAGACACUGUAAAUCUCCUAGAAGAAAACAUAGGCAAAACAUUCUCUGACAUAAAUCUUAGCAAUGUCCUAGUAGGGCAGUCUACCCAAGCAAUAGAACACCUAGAAACCUCUUCAUUCCACGAUUCCACAGUGUUCAAAACAGUAAUUCACUUGUGCAGCUGGGUAAUAAGCCACAGCUGCCAGACCACUGGACUUUUC